rnacentral:lncRNA from 1 species
UGGAGAGCUGCUGAGGAGCCUUGUACAGCAAAGAUCUUCCUAAACUAUGGAAGAGUUCUGGCAGCAAUGGGACUGCUGGAGGAGGAGGUUGAGGACUGUGGUGGGGCCUCUUUCAGCAAGGAUGAACAGAAAUGUGCAAGCAGUUCUGGCAGCAGUGGGACUGUGGGUCCAGGAAUGAUGAGGGCUGUAGCAAGGAUCUACCUAAACAUGUGGCCAGUUGGCAGAAAUGGGAUUACAGAGUGCUGGAUGCUGGGGCUGCCUGCACCUUUGUAUGUUGGUGCAGGGGCUCCCACCCUGGUGGCCCCAUAGACGUGGUUAGCAGAGCUUUCCUUCCUGGUG